rnacentral:tRNA from 1 species
GGCAGGAUAGAGCAGUAGUAGCUCGCUUGGUUCAUAACCAAGAGGUCGAUGGUGCAAUCCCAUCUCCUGCAACCA